CACCGCGGUUAGACGAGAGACCCUAGUUGAUAUUACAACGGCGUAAAGGGUGGUUAAGGAUAAACAAUUUUUUAAAGCCAAAUGGCCCCUUGGCCGUCAUACGCUUCUGGGUGUCCGAGGCCCUAUAAACGAAAGUAGCUUUAAUGACCUACCUGACCCCACGAAAGCUGAGAAA
rnacentral:rRNA from 1 species